rnacentral:lncRNA from 1 species
UAAUCCCAGCUACUCAGGAAGCUGAGGCAGGGAGAAUUGCUUGAACCUGGGAGGCAGAGGUUGCAGUGAGCUGAGAUGACGCCACUGCACUCUAGCCUGGGCGACAGAGCGAGACUCCGUCUCAAAAAAAUAAAAUAAAAUAAAUAACAGCCAGAGAGAGGCAGCCCUGUGCCCCAUCCAGAGCAGAGAGGAAUGUCAGGGGGUAGUGAUUGGUGGUGAACAGUAGGGUCUGGCACAGGGAAAACACAUCAGUGGCAGAGCCAGUUGUUAUAGGGGUAGGGGGAGAUACAAGGAAGGUCCAAGCCCAGGGCCUGGGGGUGGCCUGGGCACAUGCUGAGGGUUCUCUCCUGCAGGACAGCCACAGUGUGGAAGACCCUGUGCCCCUUCUGGGGUGAGGAGUACCAAGUGCACCUGCCGCCCACCUUCCACGCUGUGGCUUUCUACGUCAUGGAUGAGGAUGCCCUCAGCCGGGACGACGUUAUCGGAAAGGUCUGCCUUACAAGGGACACCAUAGCUUCUCACCCUAAGGAUCAUGAAGAAGUCAUGCUACCCACGCUGGAAUGAGACGUUUGAAUUUGAGCUGCAGGAGGGGGCCGUGGAGGCGCUGUGCGUGGAGGCCUGGGACUGGGACCUUGUCAGCCGAAACGACUUCCUGGGCAAAGUGGUGAUCGAUGUCCAGAGACUGCGGGUGGCGCAGCAGGAGGAGGGCUGGUUCCGGCUGCAGCCCGACCAGUCCAAGAGCCGGCAGCAUGACGAGUAAGUGCAUGGAGCUGGGCAGCCGGCCUCAAGGGGUGGGGUGGGGGCUGACAUUUGGGAAUUGGCUACAGGCAGG